rnacentral:lncRNA from 1 species
UGAUUUUUGAUGUCUACAUCUCUUGCUUACAUUUUACUUUGGAGGUUGCAAGAUCAACAUAACCUGAGUUUGGAAAAUAUUUAACAAAAUUCAAAAGAGGAAAAAAAAUCACUUCUAUUAAAAUGUACCUGAAUAAGAGGUAUAGAAAGCACAGAUGUGGUAAUGUUGAAGGAAAGAAGGCACACAUGGGAGCUUAUGCUGUAUAAUUCCAUUUAUACAAUGUAUCAACACAGGUGCAAAAAGUACAAUUAGCUGCUACAUCUCUGAGAAGAAAGAAUUUUGCUGAUGAUCUAACAGAACUUGUGAGUCAUCCAUCAGGAGAUGUUUUAAUGGUGCCAAGAACUCAGUAAAGUCUGUGAUGGAUUUGGCAAGGUCAUUUGUCAUUUUCACAUCAGCAUGGUUUUGGCACCUGCUUCUCAGUAAAGAAUUGCACUGUUGGAAACUCACUUUUGACAAAGAUGGUCUGCUUCUGACCAAAUGGUUUAUGCUACAGCAGAGAAGUACAUUUUUUCAGAAAUUAUGGAUAACAUUCUCAUGGACUUAAUCAUCUUUCAUAUUAGUUCUCAAUACAAAAUGGCAUGCUUAACAGUUACAGUGAUUUCAUCCAGUUUUCUCUGGAACAAUUUGUGACUGAACUGGUGAAUAUGUUAUGCCCUAAGGAGAAGGAUGCUGAACCUUCAGAUAUCAGGCCAGCAUUCCCAAAAGAAAGAAGGAAGAAUGGUGAAAGGCAAAGGAUCAAAGAAAUAGCUGCAGUAUGGACAAAAUGCUGGAGUUGAGCAUCACUGGAAGGAAGACUCAGUUAAAAGAAAAAAAGAAAUCAUUGUUACAUUUAAGAAGAUGGACAUGGCAUGAUUUGAUACAGAUUGGCAUGAUGUAAGUUUAUGCAUGUGGCAGGACGGCUGUCUCAAUUUGUACUUGUAUUUGUGCAGACAUACUUGUAGGACAAGAGAAAAGAGAGCCAAUAGAUCAUUUAGCACUUGCUGGAAGAGAGUAAUUUACUAAUCCAUCAUUUCAUGGGGCUCAUGGAGUAUCAGAACAAAAGCCAAAUUUUGGCUGAAUGUACCUAGCUGUAUACUGCAAAGAAAUAUCAUUUUUUUUAUUACUUUGACAGAAGCCAGUCCAAAUAGCACACAGAAAAGAGCAAAUUGCUGUCUACAUUUGACUGUGUCCUGGAAGAGUAACUGAGUGCAAUAUCUUCUGAGAAAUAUAA